UUACUGUUAAACUGACCAGUGUACCUGUUUGUCUAUGUUACCUUGAUUUCUAUAUUUAGAAUCUUAAUUAAGGCUAUAUUUCUUAUGGAUAGUGAUUUUGGUCACAUGUUCUUUUUGGAGGGAAAAUUCUAUUGUUCUGGUCACUUUUAUUUCAACUGUCAUAAUGAGCAGAUAUAUUUCACAGUUUUAGAGUUUGCAAAUUGUCUUAUAUGAAUUAUUGUAUAGUUAUUGCUGAAUCUUUUGGGAAUCCACUUACAUUAUUACUACUUUACAGGUUAAUAUUUGAUGUACAUGUAGCCAAUACACAUAUGAAGUCUUGUGACCUUCAAACUAGCACUUGAGAUGAUGUUGGGAUAGAGGGGAACUUAUAAUAAUGGAGGGGACAGCUGUAGAUGAAACUUUUGAGGUAGAAGAUCACAUGUUGUAAUGAGAAGACAGAUCUGCUGAGAGUUUUGUGAUGUAGAGGUUUGAGCUUCUCUAAAUUUGACUAAAAGAUAUUGAUAAUGAGUUUGGUUAAAUUAGACAUUUAAAAAAGAAUAAUGUUUUAAGGGCUGAUGAUCCAUUUCCUUUAUUAUCUAAAUAUACAUGUUCACAGAAAUGAAGUCUGCAGAUGACUUAUUGCAGUUGGAACAACAUCCAGAAUCCUGUGAAGAGUGGACUCUCUUAGUUACUUUACUGCUAAAAAGUCCCUAAUUAAAAUAAAAUUGAGAAUGAAAAUGGGGAAUGUGCUAAAGAGACAACAUUCCCGCACCCAGAGGCAUUCUUCAGCUGGCCCCGAAACAAAUAUAUUAUAGUUCAGUGAUAAUGAAUGCCAUACUAAACUUCAAAUUAUACACAAGAAACUAAAAGUUAAAAUAAUAGAAGACUAACAAAGGUAAGAGGCUCCUGACUUGGAACAGGCGCAUAAAUGCGGCAGGGUUAAACAUGUUUGUGAGAUCCCUCCCCCUAUACCUCUAGCCAAUGCAGAAAAGUAAAAGCAUAACAAUAAGCACAUCAAAAUUCAGUUCAAGAGAAGUCCGGGUCUGAUGUCAAAAGAUGUAACCAAAAAAAAUAAACAAAAUGACAAUAAUACAUAAAUAACAUCAGACUGCUUGUAGUUAACUGACAUGCCUAAUUAUUCAUUUAAGUUUCUUUUUAAGUAUAGCCACCAAAAUUUAGGUGAAAUUGUGCUGAAAUAUGGAAAUAUAGUAGAAUUUCCCAAAAAAAACUCUAGCCCUUAUAUUACACAUCUUUUGUUGGCGCGGCUGUUUACUACAUGUAUUUAAGAAAAAUGAAAUUUAAAAAAAAAUGAACAGAAGAAAAAAAUAUGAUACUGCUGAAAACUUGUGUAAUAUAGAGAUUUGAGUUUCUAUAAAUUUGAGUUAAAAUGCAUUGAUUAUAAGAUUUGUUAAAUAAGAUCUUUAUAAUAUGUUUUAUAAAGCCUAAAGAUCUACUUCUUUUAUUUUUUAAUACACAUGCUUCCAGAAAUGAAGUCUGCAGAUGACUUAUUGCUGAACUACAUUCUGAAUUUUAGAUCAUGAAUCAUAGGAAGAAUUGACUUUUAACUUUAUCUUUUAAAACCCUAAUUGUUCAGUAGAUUCUUUUUAAACAGCCAUUGAAAUUAAGGUGAAAAUUUUGAAAAAAUAUAAAAUUUAGAAUUUCCCAAGAAUAUCUAGCCUUUAUAUUGCACAUCUUUGUUGGGGCAGCAGUAUAUUUAAAAAGAAAAGCAAGAGAAAAACAUAAUGGGAAAAAAUUUAUACUGCUGAAAAUUUAAGUUUUUAUGAAAGAUGAUUUUUGAGUUUUUAUUUGUGAAGGAAGCGGGUGUGCUUGGAGAAAACCUAAGACCUUUGCUCGGAAAACUGACAAUCCUAGUCCAUUAAGAUUGGAGUCAAAUGCACCUGCACGAGAGGGUUUAAGCUCACAACCUCAGUGUUGACUGGCUAGUGAUUACAGUAGUAACUACAUACAUGUAGACCACUUGGCCACCUAGACCCCUAUAACAUUUGAAUAUAAAGAUCUAUUUAGUAUUAGGGAUCAUGUACAGUCAAGCCUGUUUUAAGCAUGUCACUCAUGGGAAGUAUCAAAAGAAGUUCUGAAAAAUUCCCAGUCCAAAAAAAACAAUGUGGCUGGGAUUAAAACUUGAUUUAGUUUUAUAGUUGGAAGAUUUAUUGUUCUGACAUGUGAGCAGACAAAUAUUAAAUGGUGGACUCUUUCACUGUUAAUUAGAAGAAGACAUUAAUGGUGUUUAUACACUUGGCUAAAUAAGUCCAUGAAGGUGUAACACCACUAAUUCAGGCCCGGCAAGAAAGCACAUACCAGAAAGUAGUACAUAUUUAACACAAAAUAGUUCCUACGCAUGGACAUAUCUUUCAAAAUGUGUAGAAUAUUUUAUUAAUUUUGGUAUCAAAUGAAAGCUGCAUAACUGGUGAUCAUUGUAGAACAAUUUUUGACUGAUAAAUUUGAAUAAUAAAAAAAUGGCAUGAAAUUUAAAAAGGAGGGUACAUUUUGCCUUUUUGUCAGAUCGGAAGUACCUGUUUUGGUACAUCCGUAGCUCCGGGAACCAGUUCUUUCUUCUAUGCAAUUAAAGGUAUGUUGAUUUUUUCAGUACAGGAUACCAGAAGGUGUUGCUUUGAAAUGCAAUGAUUGCCACUUUAUUUGAACUUAAAAUAAAAGAGGUGUGCCUGCUUGAAACGGAGGAAUUUAACAUAGAAAGCAAUGGGACCAUGAAUUAGUGGUGUACUUCCUGAAAUGCUUUUCAAUGAUAUUAAUUGAAGGAAGAGGAAUACAAAGGAUUCACAAAUUUAAUUCCUAUUUCUAGAUCUUUGUUUCAAACGGGUUCCUUUUUUGAUUUUGAUACAGAACAUAGAUAUUUUUCAUCAUGAUUAUAAUCAUGAUAAUUGGUAACUGAAAAACAGUACAAUGAUGAUUUCGUGCACUAAUAUAAAGGUGACCACAUGUACAGGUGACCACUGAAAUAUUCAGAACAAAUGCUUAAGAUGGUAUCUUAAGGCAGGUUUGACUGUAAAUGAUUAUAUUUUUUCACAUCUAGAAUUUUGGUUAACAAUAAAUCAUGUAAAGAAUGACUUUCUUUCAACUUGAUCAUUAACAAUCCUUGUUUCAGAAGUAUCUUUUUAAGCAGCAACUGUUUUUUUAAAGGAAUCAUAGCUACAUGCAUGAGAUGCAAAGAGUGGAAUAAUUAGCAAGGAGACAUGAAAUUCAUUUACAGGUAUAAUUGGAUUGCUGCUACACAUGGAAAGUUCACAAUGGGGAAAUUGAAGUCUCUUUUGUCAAAUUAUAGCUCUCAGCUGGUCCUUGCUGAUGGCUUCUAGGCGACGGCAAGAAUGAAGUACAGCGCCAUAUCUGUUGUAUCCUUCUUCUGGUUCACACAGUGGGUUAGUUGGGAUCAACUUUUUUUGGUUACCUUUUAAGAGAUCACCUACAUUGUGGAAUGUGAAAUUAAGGGAUAAUGCUUGAUUCUUUUUAUCCUUGAUUAGUGCCUGUAUGAAGUCUGCCUUAAAAGGGGCAGGGUUCCCAUAGCAAUGUCAACAUUUUUUAUUGUUCUUUUUUUAAAUUUUUUAAUAGUUUUCUCAAUAAAACUUUUUUCUGUUUUGUCCUUUUUUUCAGAUUUAUCAAACUUCUUCUUCUUCAACAUUAUUUCAUUAUUUAUUAUUUAACUUUUCUUAUUCUGAAUCAGUAUUAAGGUCUGCAGCAAUGCUUUUAGAAAUUUUAAUUGUUAUUUUCCUGUAAAUUUACAGUUUAUUAAGUAUGAGAUAAUGAUAUCUCUUUUGGCUUUUUAAUGAUCAUGUCAAUUGGCUAAACAAAGUUUUAGUCUCUGGCAAUCUUAAUGAAGGUUAUUCCACUAACCAGUUGGCUACACUGAAAAUUGUAACAUCCAUUCAUUUAAGUUUAUGAAAUAUUUUAAUUUCUUUAAAAAUUAUACUUAUGUCCCUCCAUAUCUAGUACUUCAUUUAAAAAUCUUUUCAUUCUAUGAAGUAUCAACACUAACCUGGGGGGUUUACUAACAUGAUACUUCCUAAAUAGGUUGUUAGGUAUUUAAGUGGCAUGAUAGAGUGGCACAAGGGAGAGAGAGAUUGGUGUAUGACAUUCUAGUAAGGGUUUGGGGUACUAACCAGAUGGAGGGAUAUGGUUGCUUUUUAUUCAUUAAGUAUGUGUGCAGAAUUGAAUUUAUUGGGUUGAGACUGAUUGUUGUUAGUAAAUGACUUUCUAAAGACAAAAUGCCAUUAAUUUAGUCUUACAUAUUAUUAUAACUUCAGAUAAAUACCUAAUACCUAAAAUUCAGAAUGGGACAGUUAAAUAAGUAAUUUUUUGUGGGGGGCGAUGAAAUGUAAAAUUUGAAGAAAAAAAAAUUCUUUAGACCUAUUCAUGUUUACAAUUUUUUUAUUUCAUUUCUUCACUUCAAUUUCGAUUGACCAUUGUGAUGAUAUUCAAAUUUUAAUUUGAUGGGGAACAGAUAAAUGACAACCUUCCUUUUUAAAAUCAAUUUAAUGUCAUAUUUUUGUAACACAGUUGACAUUUCUAUAGGAACUUAUUACUGUAAACCAACUCAUUUUAUGGACAUUUUAUUCGUGUUGCGCCAUUUCUAUCAAUCUUCGCAGCGUUUUUUUUUUCGUGUAUCACCCUUUCUAUCAUAUUUCACAUAGGAUUUUUUCCUGUGUAUAAACGAAAAAAGAAGAUGUAGUUUGAUUGCCAAUGAGACUUUACACUCCACAAGAGACUAAAUGAUACAGAAACUAACAGCUAUAGGUCACUGUAUGACCUUCAACAAUGAGCAAAGCAGAAAAAGAUGUGUUAUGAUUGCCAAUGAAACAACUCUUUACAUGAGACUAAAUAACAUAGAAAUUAACAGCUACAGGUCACUGUACGGCCUUCAACAAUGAGCAAAGCAGAAAAAGAUGUGUUAUGAUUGCCAAUGAAACAACUUUCCACAAGAGACUAAAUAACAUAGAAAUUAACAGCUAUAGGUCACUGUACGGCCUUCAACAAUGAGCAAAGCAGAAAAAGAUGUGUUAUGAUUGCUAAUGAAACAACUCUCCACAAGAGACUAAAUGACACAAAAAUUUACAGCUACAUGUCACUGUACAGCCUUCCACAAUGAGCAAAGCAGAUACCACACAUUCAACUAUAAAAGGCUCAGAAAUCACAAAUGAAAAAAUUAAAAGAAAAGAAUCCCAUAUUGCUGUUUUUUACAUAUUUUGCAUGGAUGUGUUAUCUUAUUUUUCGGGUUACUUCAUUCUAUUUUGAAAUAUUUGUGAUUUAUAUUCGGCUUAUUUCUUUUCGCUUGAAGUCGCGUUAAUAAAUUGUCUGAAAAAUGAGUUGGUUCACAGUAUGCUCCUCUUCUAGUCUUGGUUUCUCCCUCCCUCCCCCUUGUAGCAGUCUCAAUAAUCCUUUAUUCCCCGCCCCACCUUGGUCAAAGGCAGGGUCUUAAAUUGCAUAUGAUAUGAUUGCCAAUAAGACAAACUCUUCAUCUGAAGACCAAAUGUCAAAGAUUGAUGCAGCUGGGGUCUGUAACAAAUAAGGAGAUGUGAUAUGAUUGCCAAUAAGACAAAGUCUUCAUCAAGACCAAAUGACAGAGAUUGAUGCAGGGUCUUUAACACUGGAGCAAUGACCUUAUAUUUCAACACGUGACAAAUAUGGAGAUGUGAUAUGAUUGCCAAUAAGACAUUUAUUAAACUAUUCAUCAAGACCAAAUGACAGAGAUUGAUGCAGGGUCUUUGACAAUGGAGCAAUGACCUAAUAUUUCAACAGGUAACAAAUAUUGAGAUGUGAUAUGAUUGCCAAUAAGACAUUUAUUAAACUCCUCAUCACAACCAAAUGACAGAGAUUGAUGCAGGGUCUUUGACAAUGGAGCAAUGACCUAAUAUUUCAACUUGUAACAAAUAUGGAGAUGUGAUAUGAUUGCCAAUAAGACAUUUAUUAAACUCUUCAUCACGACCAAAUGACCAAAUGACAGAGAUGGAUGCAGGGUCUUUAACAUUAGAGCAAUGACCUAAUAUUUCAACAAUUCAAGUAUGGAGAUGUGAUAUGAUUGCCAAUAAGACAUUUAUUAAACUCUUCAUCACGACCAAAUGACAGAGAUUAAUGCAGGGUCUUUAACAAUGGAGCAAUGACCUAAUAUUUCAAAAAUGCAAAUAUGGAGAUGUGAUAUGAUUGCUAGUAAGACAAACUUUUCAUCAAGACCAAAUGUCAAGAGAUUGAUGCAGGGUCUUUAACAAUGGAGCAAUGACCUAAUAUUUCAUAUACAAAUCCCAUUUACAUAUAAACAUCAGAUGUGGUAUGAUUGCCUUUGGUACAAGUAUGUUGCUGGUUUUAGAUAUCCACCCUAUCAUUCAUCUUUACAUAUGAAGUAGACUUGAUUCAGAGGCUUGUUGGGGAUAACAGAGGAACUUGCACUGUACUUUUACCUCACAUUCCUCAAUUUAGGUAUUUCUUUUUUCAAAAUUCAAAAUUAUUUUUUUUUUUUUUUUUUGGGUUUUCAUUUAUAUAAAGAUAAUUCAAAGUUUGUUGACAUUAUUGAUUUCUUUUUUCAAAAUUCAAAAUUACUUUUUUUUUCUUUUUUUUUUGGUUUUCAUUUAUAUAAAGAUAAUUCAAAGUUUGUUGACAUUAUUGAUUUCUUUUUUCAAAAUUCAAAAUUCCUUUUUUUUUUUUUUUUUUUGGUUUUCAUUUAUAUAAAGAUAAUUCAAAGUUUUUUGACAUUAUUGAUUCCUUACUUUUUUACUUUUUUUAUUUUUGGUUUUCAUUUAUAUAAAGAUAAUUCAAAGUUUGUUGCCAUUAUCGAUUCCUUCUGUAAUUCCUACAUGUAUAUAUAUAUAUAUAAAACAGCUAGUUGUAAGGAGCAUCCGAUAUAGGAAGACUGGCUCAUAUCUUGACCUUAGCCUGGGGUUGUUGGUGAGGUCAGUUGGGAACUAUAAAAAAUUACAACAAAGGAGACUUCUUUUUUUCUGAUUGUGAACCUUCUAUUAUUAUGUAGCAACAAUCCAGGUAUAGUUGUAUAUAUGGAUUUUGUAUCUCCAUGUUGAUUAUUUUACUCCUUGCAUGUGCUGUACUUGUUUCCUUAAUAACAUGUCUGCUGUUUUUAAAGGA